rnacentral:rRNA from 2 species
AGCUAUACAUGCAAGUCGAGCGGAUCUCUUCGGAGGUCAGCGGCGGACGGGUGAGUAACACGUGGGCAACCUGCCUGUAAGACUGGGAUAACUCCGGGAAACCGGAGCUAAUACCGGAUACUAUGUCAAACCGCAUGGUUUGACAUUCAAAGACGGUUUCGGCUGUCACUUACAGAUGGGCCCGCGGCGCAUUAGCUAGUUGGUGAGGUAAUGGCUCACCAAGGCGACGAUGCGUAGCCGACCUGAGAGGGUGAUCGGCCACACUGGGACUGAGACACGGCCCAGACUCCUACGGGAGGCAGCAGUAGGGAAUCUUCCGCAAUGGACGAAAGUCUGACGGAGCAACGCCGCGUGAGUGAUGAAGGUUUUCGGAUCGUAAAACUCUGUUGUCAGGGAAGAACAAGUGCCGGAGUAACUGCCGGCACCUUGACGGUACCUGACCAGAAAGCCACGGCUAACUACGUGCCAGCAGCCGCGGUAAUACGUAGGUGGCAAGCGUUGUCCGGAAUUAUUGGGCGUAAAGCGCGCGCAGGCGGUUUCUUAAGUCUGAUGUGAAAGCCCCCGGCUCAACCGGGGAGGGUCAUUGGAAACUGGGAAACUUGAGUGCAGAAGAGGAGAGUGGAAUUCCACGUGUAGCGGUGAAAUGCGUAGAGAUG